AAGGAUGAAUGCACAUCCAUCUGGAGUUCUGGUAGACAAUUGUGUGAUGCUGUUAGUUUGACAGGAAAACCAUGCAUGCAUAAAAGACACAGCGUUGGAACUGAUGAUUUGCUUGUAACCGACGAGAUCAAGCCACAUUCCAGUGGAUUUGUAUUCCUUCAUGCAUGUGCAUGUGGUCGUUCAAGACAACUACGACCCGAUCCUUUUGAUUUUGAAACAGCCAACAUUUCUUUCAAUUGUUUUCCAGAAUGUGACAAGCUUCUUCCUGCACUACAUAUCCCUCAAGGUAGUGUUGAAGGGCCUAUUAAACCUUCUUGUUGGAGAUUGAUACGUGUUGGUGGUGCAAGGUACUAUAACCCUGCAAAAGGUCUACUCCAAAGUGGCUUUGGUACAACUCAGAAAUUCCUUUUAAAAUGGUCAAUUGUUCUUGGAAAACAGAAGAUGAGCAAUGGUUUGUCUUUGAGUAAUCAGCUACAAGUUUAUUCAAAUAAAUUAAGUGGCAGCGACAAAGAUGAACCUCUUGCAGGUAAAGACACAAAGAAGGUUGGUGAUGCUCAUUUUCAGGCACAAGAAGUGCAGAGUGAAGUUGAAGUACCAAAAAGGCAGCCUUUAUUAAACAAUAAAGCUAGUGACAAAAUGAUGGGAGUUUCCAACUUGACAAUGAGAAAACCUUUUUCUGAGGUGGUUGCUGGAUCAGCUGGAACACAUUCAGGGUUUCCUCCUCUUCAGACCAGAAAACAACCUCUGCCAGGUUCUGGGAAGGGAAUUAAGCAGCAUGAUACAAGAGAGAAGGGUUUGUCAAAGGCCAUGGAAAUUGCCAAUAAUCAAGGGUCUCAAAAACUUCCAAAUAUUGCUACUAUUGAUCAUGCAACCAAUGGGGUUGCAAUUAAUACUAAUGCUGAUGCAAAUAGUGAUCCACCAUUACAGAUAGGUAGCAAUGAUGUUCCAUUGAACAUGGCUACUGGAGGUAAGGUGAGAGAAUUUAUUCCUCUGAAGCAUGUAUCGAUUUAUGUUGGGUUCGAGCAUGAGUGUCCCCAUGGGCACCGGUUUAUAUUGACGCCAGAUCAUCUCAAAGGCCUUGGUUCCCCUUAUGCAAUGCCUGAAGAAUCUCUUGUUACAUCAUCCAUUGAGAACUCAGAUCAUAAUAUGGCAGAUUCUUCUAAAUCUGGUAAGAAUGGUGGUCAUGCUAGGGCACGCAAACAGUCAAACGGAACUAUUAACAAUGCUUUUCGCAUGACAAGUAAUCUGGAAGAGUCAAAAGUGAGAAGCACCAAUAAAAUUGUAUAUGAAAAUGGACAGAUGCAAGUUUCCAAUAUAUUAAGAGAACAAAAUCUCAGUGAAGCUAAAGGUACUUCUUCAGUGAUGGACCUUGCAGCUGGUUUUCAGUCUGUUAAUCUUGAUGAUGGUGGAACUGCUUUCUCCCUCGUGAAUAGAAGUCUACCCAUUUACAUGAACUGCCCUCACUGCAGGGAGUCAAGGAAGAAAAAAGAUACAAUGAAUGUUAAAUUUGCUAGCACUAUUUCACAGCUGCAAAGGAUCUUUUUGGUAUGAAAAAACGUCUUUUAUCAUCUUAACAAUUAAGUGCGACUGUGAGUGUCUGAAUAUAUUUAUCUUCUCUUAGUAAACAGUUAUAUGCCUCAUGUAAAAUUGAAUUUCUAUUCUUUGAUGCAUCAAUGCAAGUUUAAAGGUUUUCACAGGAUGAUUACUUGCCUAAUUGUACUUCCAGCGGCCAGUAAAGAUUACUAAUAAUACUUGUCUUGGUAAUGAAACUAGAUCUCUGGAAAAGUUUGUUAGGCUAUAACAUGUAUGAAGUCAGAGAUAAUAAAGGAAUAGCAUCUCUAAGAUAGAACUUAGAAAUGGGGUUGGUCAUGCAUAUUGAUAGUCAUCAGUGCGAAAUUAGUCCAAGCUUGUAAAUGAUAUUAUUCUUCUCUUUGCAUUUAUCUGACUCACUUUGUCAUAUCUUUAUCUUGUCUUCUUUUGGUAACUUAGAUUCAGAUUUAUACCACCAUGGUAAAGUGAAUUUUUAGAAGCACGUUUAAAUAAAAGUUACUGCAUUGCCAUGCAUGUCCAUGAGAGCCUUCUUUUAUACUUUCUACAUCACAUGUGAAUGGACACCCAAGGAGAUUAAUUACAUUUUUUUAUUCCCUAAGAUCUACAUUGCCAGUGUGGUUUUUAUGAAUUCAGAUACUGUUGAUUAUUUUAUUGUGACUGCGCAUCUUAAUUAUUGUGUUGCUCAAUGUGUAGGUCACGCCUGCCUUUCCAGUAAUUUUAGCAGCCUGCCCAGUUGUGCAAUUUGAGGUAUGCACCAGUUGCUGGAAAUGUGCUUUCAUCAUUAUUAGGAUUUUUCAUUACAAACUUGCUUUAUUUGUUUCCUGGGACAUUUGAAUAUGAGUUGUCUAUUUAAGGUUCAAAACGACUCGUUUAAAUUUUUAAACUAUUUAAAGUGUUUACUGCUAUCCAAGGUUGCACCAAGCUGGCAUCAGGCACUGUAUUCUUUAAAUGACCAUAGUCAUCAACUCAACAUAGAUUCAGGUGUUGCUGUUGCAAAUGUAAAAUUGUUUGGUGUGCAAGAAAUUCACAACUACUGUUUGAUAAUUGACUCAACUGUGACUGCUUAUUGCCCAGCUUGUGGACUAUAAAAAAUAGGACUUGCUUCCAUUGCAUGCUUGGAUCAUUAUGACAUAUUAUCUUAAAUACGUGAUGGUAUGUUAUCAUAUAUUAGCUUUGAAUCAUUCAAGUGAUUAGAAUUGAAUAAUAUAGAUAUGGUUGCAGCUUAAUUUGGUGUAUUCAUCAAUAUGUUAUUUGGAACGGUUUUCAAUUGAUCAAAGAUAAUUUGGCUAAUUCACAGGAUUCAUGCCUCCCUUCAACAGUCCCAGAUUGCAAAGAAAAGCUGCAAUUUGGCCUUGGCUGUCGGGUAAUUUUGCCUCCAGACAGUUUUCUCUCACUCAGGCUUCCCUUUGUUUAUGGUGUAAAGUUGGAUGAUGGAAAAGUGCAUCCUCUUAUGCCUUUCGAGGAUCAACCGCAACUGACUGCCUGGAUUACCAAAGGCACCACAUUGCAGGUUGUAUCUCAAGGAAGCAAUCUUGCUGGAGUAGCUAACAUGUAGUGAAAUUUGGUGAACCUGAGGAGUGAUGAUAAAAAUAGUAUGGUUCACUUUGCGCUUUCCGAGGCAGAUUGCUCAGCUAGCCUGCUGUCUGGUAAAUAUUUUUUAUAACAAAUACGCUCUUUGCUGAAGUCCACAAUUAACUUUUGUUAAGAUGAUAGAAAGAAAGAAAAGGGUGAAGUUCAAAAUUUAUCCUAUGCGUUUGACAAAAACAAACUUAUUAAUUUUUUGUAUCUACAAUGUUUUGGCAAGUGGAAUUAUUUCUUCUUGACCAAAUGAGACUAUUAAAGGUGACAGAAUCUCAUGAGUCAUGCACUAUAGUGCUUCCUUCUGCAUCUUAAAUGUGGCGUUAUGUGGAUGGAUCUAACCUGGUGCCUAUUUAAUGCAUUUAAUGGUAGUUGAUGUAUCUGAUUUUCACAAAGCAUCUUGUUUCUUACUCUAGAACAUGUAAUCUUGGGAAAGAUACCAUGAAAAAGGAAAUCCAUGGGUUUUAAAAUUAGUAAAUGUGAGAUGUAAGUGUGAAAUAUUAGUAAGGUGAUUAGCAUCUAUUAUAUGGCCCUAAGUUACUUUGCACUUUACCAUCUAGACUUCAUAAUAGUUGAUGUGGUGAAAUUUGAAAUUUCUUUCUUCAGCACUUUAGUUUAACUCCUGCAUAAUUCCUUCUUUUAAAAGCUAAUGAUUCUACUAUAAUUGAGCUUUGUACUUGAAUUUGUUCAAGUGUUUGUGUAUAGCGCUUUUAAAUAACUCAAGAGUUCUUACUAGUUGCUUUUAUGUCUGAUUGAAACAUGAAUCAAGUUAAGCAUUUUGAUGCAUAAAAAUUUUUUUUUCUGCACUUAAAAGAGUUGGAUAUACAUAGUUAGAGGUCAAUAAAGUCCAGCAAUUGCCAGGAAUUCCAAGUUUGUAACUUUAAUUUAGCGGUUUUUCAGAUAAUUGGAUUGACCUGUGCGCCUCAAUCAUGUUGAGAUCACAUUGUCAUGCUGCUAUUCAUGGACCCAUGGUAGAUGACACUUGUGCGGGUGGCAGAAACCUUUGGUACAAUUCCUUUAUCCUUUUUUAUUUUUUGAACCUGAUCAUAAACUAUGAGAAGCCAACAAUGUUGGGUUAAUUCUUAGUACAUUAGAGCUAUCCUGUUGUGUGGCUUGGGCACUCAAUUUCUUCGAAAGUAAACUAGUUAUGCAUAUGUCUGUGUAAGUAAUCAGUCAGGCGGGAAGGUUUCAACUCAUGCCAUCUUUUUUCUUUUUUUUUGGGGAAUGCGUGCUAUAUAUUUGCCUUCUCAAAUCUCAAUUCCUUUUCAACUUCUAGUUCUAGCGUGUUUGCAUAAGAGUUCUUUAGUAUUUAGUGAGGGGGAACACGAAGUAAAAACAAGUCGAAUGGAGUCAAAAAGAACAGCAGUAUUGGAUGGAUGGAACAAUUACUUUUAGUUGCUUACACUAAGGUUCAGGUUAAUCUUCCUGCAUCUGCAGAAUACAAUUUGUUAGCAGUAUGCUGCUAGAAAAUAUUCUCAGUAAUGUUCCUUCAACUAUUUGCUAAUUGCCAUUUAUGCCAACGUUUUUGGUUCUUGUUCUU
rnacentral:lncRNA from 1 species